rnacentral:rRNA from 1 species
ACGUAGGGGGCAAGCGUUAUCCGGAUUUACUGGGUGUAAAGGGAGCGUAGACGGUUAAGCAAGUCUGAAGUGAAAGCCCGGGGCUCAACCCCGGUACUGCUUUGGAAACUGUUUGACUUGAGUGCAGGAGAGGUAAGUGGAAUUCCUAGUGUAGCGGUGAAAUGCGUAGAUAUUAGGAGGAACACCAGUGGCGAAGGCGGCUUACUGGACUGUAACUGACGUUGAGGCUCGAAAGCGUGGGGAGCAAACAG